rnacentral:rRNA from 1 species
UGGGGAAUUUUGGACAAUGGGCGAAAGCCUGAUCCAGCAAUGCCGCGUGUGUGAAGAAGGCCUUCGGGUUGUAAAGCACUUUUGUCCGGAAAGAAAUCCUUGGCUCUAAUACAGUCGGGGGAUGACGGUACCGGAAGAAUAAGCACCGGCUAACUACGUGCCAGCAGCCGCGGUAAUACGUAGGGUGCAAGCGUUAAUCGGAAUUACUGGGCGUAAAGCGUGCGCAGGCGGUUUGCUAAGACCGAUGUGAAAUCCCCGGGCUCAACCUGGGAACUGCAUUUGGUGACUGGCAGGGCUAGAGUAUGGCAGAGGGGGGUUAGAAUUCCACGUGUAGCAGUGAAAUGCGUAGAGAUGUGGAGGAAUACCGAUGGCGAAGGCGGCCCCCUGGGCCAAUANUGACGCUCAUGCACGAAAGCGUGGGGAGCAAACAGGAUUAGAUACCCCUGGUAGUCCACGCCCUAAA